rnacentral:rRNA from 1 species
CCUACGGGAGGCAGCAGUGGGGAAUAUUGCACAAUGGGGGGAACCCUGAUGCAGCGACGCCGCGUGGGUGAAGGAGUAUUUCGGUAUGUAAAGCCCUAUCGGCCGGGAAGAAUUUAGUCGGUACCUUACUAAGAAGCCCCGGCUAACUACGUGCCAGCAGCCGCGGUAAUACGUAGGGUGCAAGCUUUAUCCGGAUGUACGGGGUGUAAAGGUAUCGUAGACGGUCAGGCAAGCCUGGAGUGAAAGCCCUGGGCACAAGCCCGGGACGGCACUGGGAACCGGCAGGUUGGAGGGGGGGAGGGGGGGGCGGAAUUCCUGGUGUAGCGGUGAAAUGCGUAGAUAUCAGGAGGAAGAACGGUGGCGAAGGCGGCCUGCUGGACCGAGACUGACGUUGAGGCUCGAAAGCGUGGGGAGCGAACAGGAGUAGAUACCCGUGUAGUC